rnacentral:tRNA from 1 species
GAAGGUAUAGCUCAGUGGUAAAGUGCCUGCCUAGCAUGCACAAGGUCCUGGGUUCAAUCCCCAGCACCUCCA